rnacentral:rRNA from 1 species
CCUACGGGGGGCAGCAGUGAGGAAUAUUGGUCAAUGGGCGGUAGCCUGAACCAGCCAAGUAGCGUGAAGGAUGAAGGUUCUAUGGAUUGUAAACUUCUUUUAUAAAGGAAUAAAGUGAGGCACGUGUGCCUUUUUGUAUGUACUUUAUGAAUAAGGAUCGGCUAACUCCGUGCCAGCAGCCGCGGUAAUACGUAGGAUCCGAGCGUUAUCCGGACUUGUUGGGUUUAAAGGGAGCGUAGAUGGGUUGUUAAGUCAGUUGUGAAAGUUUGUGGAUCAACGGUAAAAUUGAAAUUGAUAUUGGGGUU